GCCUAGCUUGUAAAAUAGCAUUAGACGGCACCCGAGUCAGUUUCUUGAAAUUGUGACCAAAGCUGCCUUCGCUCCACAUAGCUACAGAGCACCAGAUUUUAUUGGGUCAGACGACGCUUUUGUGAAUUUCCCCGAGAGUCACGCUCUUGGUCUAGCGAGCAGAGACGCUGGCGGUGAUCCUGCCCUUUCCUGCCAAAGUCCUUCGUUUGGCCACACAGGGGAACUCAGUUAAAUGUAGAAAUCAAGGCACCAAUGUUGAAAGCCUAUGGAGGUCGAGCAAAAUGAAUUAUCAAACGUCGACUCCAUACUAUGACAUUGAUUAUGGGAUAUCAGAGCCCUGUCAGAAGACCAACGUGAAACAGAUCGCAGCCGGGCUCCUGCCUCCGCUCUACUCGCUGGUGUUCAUCUUCGGCUUCGUGGGCAACAUGCUGGUCAUCCUCAUCCUCAUCAACUGCAAGAGGCUGAAGAGCAUGACGGACAUCUACCUGCUCAAUUUGGCCAUCUCCGACCUGCUCUUCCUUUUCACCAUCCCGUUCUGGGCCCACUAUGCUGCAGACCAGUGGGUCUUUGGAAAUAGAAUGUGUCAGCUUUUGACAGGGCUCUAUUAUAUCGGCUUCUUCACUGGCAUCUUCUUCAUCAUCCUCCUGACCAUUGACAGGUACCUGGCGAUCGUCCACGCGGUGUUUGCCAUAAAGGCCCGGACGGUCACCUUUGGGGUGGUGACAAGCGGGGUCACCUGGGUGGUGGCCGUGUUCGCCUCUCUCCCUGAGAUCAUCUUCACCAGAUCCCAAAAAGAGGGGUCUCGCUUUACUUGUAGCCACCACUUCCCACCCAGUCAGUACCGUUUCUGGAAGAACUUCCUGACGUUGAGGAUGAGCAUCUUGGGCCUGGUCCUGCCCCUGCUUGUCAUGGUCAUCUGCUAUUCGGCCAUCCUCAAGACCCUGCUCCGGUGCCGAAACGAAAAGAAGAGGCACAAGGCCGUGCGGCUCAUUUUCGUGAUCAUGAUUGUUUACUUUCUUUUCUGGGCUCCCUACAACAUCGUGCUUCUCCUGAGCACCUUCCAGGAGUCCUUCGGCCUGAACAAUUGCAGCAGCUCCAACAGGCUAGACCAAGCCAUGCAGGUGACCGAGACGCUUGGGAUGACGCACUGUUGCAUCAACCCCAUCAUCUACGCCUUCGUCGGGGAGAAGUUCAGAAACUACCUCUUGGAGUUUUUCCGAAAGCACAUCGCCAGACGCUUCUGCAAACGCUGCCCCGUCUUCCUGGGAGAUGUCUCCGACAGAGCAAGCUCGGUUUACACUCGAUCCACUGGGGAGCAGGAGAUCUCUGUCGGCUUAUGAGCUGGACUGGGUCUUUGUACACAGCCUGGGGGUGGGAGUGGUUCUUUUGAAAAGGAAGUCACUGUCAUAGAGGGUCUACGAUUCACCCAUCCAUCUGGCACCUCUUUUAAGUAUAUUAGAUCAUUUGAGACCAUCACUUCCGGAGAGCCAAAUCAAUAUAUGCAGAUGGUAUAACAACUUCUCAUCUCCGCUCCACGCACAUCAACUUAUUGACACACUCUCCCUUCAAUGCAGAAGUUCAUUAUUAAAAAAAAAAAAAGAAUCCUCGGAGAACUGCUGACUCUUGAGUCUGGUUAACCUGAACGGGAAUACCAAAAUUAAUCAAUAAACAUAUUGUAUAGUUUCUUACCUGCUGGAGGCAACAAGGGCAGGUUGCAGAUGUGCUUGAAGCAGGUCCUUGUUGUGAUCGGUUCAGAAACUACAUCUUCCAAGUGUGAUCUGCCCUCCAAGGUGUGGUUGGUAAGUUCCACAGAUGUUCAGGACCAGGUGAGAACCGGGAGAGCUUCUUCAGUGAGAAGGGGAUCCUCUGCUGGGAGAGGGGAGGGAGGCUGAGCUCCAAGCUGCAGACCCCACACUCGUGGAGUGGCUCGGCAGCUGUGGGAGGACGGGUGCUGGCUGGGGAAGGCAAGGUGAGCCUGGACCAUGGAGAGCGUGCAUAGCACCACCUGUCGAAGUCAGAGCAGGGACUGUCCAGGAACACAUCCAGGUGAGGACUGGUUACAUAGUUAAUGAACACGCAGAGCUUUCUAAGCAUUGAGCUAAGAGACCCCGGGGCAGGGAGGGAAGCCCGAAUGAGUAAAUUUCUGCCCUCCCGGGCACACCACGGCUUAAACAUUGUCUUCUGGAUUCAACUCUCUGUAGGCAGAAGGCAGAAGGGACGGAUUCAUUUGGAAACAGGCCGCCCGCAGCUUGAUCAGCCACAAAAAGCAUGAUUUGAGGACCUUUGUGUUUCAGGCUGAGUGUGGUGGCUUUAGCCACUCCUUCCAGCCGCCUUCUACAGACACAUUGUCCCCAAACACUAAGGGAUCUUUUCAGGAAAGAGUCAUGACUUCGUGUUCUGCAGUUGCUACUUUUAUUAUUCUGUACCUGCCUGAGAUGGUUUUGAAUCUGGGGAGUAGCUAAGACCAUUCGGGAAAGAUCAGGUGAUGGAACGUAAAGAAGGGAGAGUCGCUCGAGAGGGUAAGGUGUCAGAAUAGUAAGAGGUGCUACGGAUUUUUCUCAAGCUCUGAAAGACGAGACUUGAGAGCGUGGGCGGCAACGGGAAGCACCCAGAAAUGCUCUGAAGGUUGUUACGAGGGUAUCAAUAUCCUCUGACCCUAGCCUCUGAGUCAACUCAAAGACAUUCUGGUAUUUUUGUGUAUGUGUAUAUAUAUAUAUAUAUCUCCUAUAUAUGUGAGAAUCUUACAUCAGUGGAAAGUUACAAAUUGCUUGGAAGAAAAUCCUUACCCAAUAAAAACCGCCCUCUAAAAUAAUUGAUUGUAUUCUUGUUCUUUCAGUCAAGUGCCCAUUUAGAGACUAGCAUACGAGACUGCAAAAGCCCUUUGAAAGUAGCUGGUUUUGGAAAAUUCCAUACGUACACACCCUCACACAGACACAGAGAAUCACACUGCUUUUUAAAUAUUUGUAAAAGUUGCCCCCCUCCCUGGGUCAAACUGCCAGAAUAAUGUGUUUGAAGAUGCGGUUUCUCAGGGUAGCAUUUCUGAGCAAUGGACACCGGAAACCUUUAAAUUUCUAAUUUAAUUCUACUACCAGAGCCAAAGACCUGACACAUUUCUAAAACACAGAAAAUCGAUGUGUGUUUAAGCCCACGCCAGCUAUCCGUGUUUGACAGUGAAGAAGGCCUAAGGUCCCAGGUUGGUCAUUUCUGUCAUCCUAAGUUGCAGACACAUGAUGCAUGAAGAAGGCUCCUCAUGAGAGAGGACAGGUGCUCCCAAGAAGAGGUGACGGGUUCGGGUCACAUCCACGGUUUGGGGCUGGCUGGUUUUCAGGUUCUCACCUUCCGGAGCAGGUCAUCAUCCUACCUGGAGGUCCGUGGAAGGAGCAGAAGACAAGGACAGCCGGAGCUGGCUCGUACGAUGGCUUUUCCCUAACAGCCUGAAGGACUGCCUUCCACCCGCGAGUCAAGAGGAGGCAUGACCCAAGGAAGGGCAGAAGGGGGCUGAGUCUGAGCAGAGGAAGGGUCUAGGGCACCCUCCCAUCAUCCCCGCACUCCUCACUUUGCAGGGCCCUCCACUGCCCAGCCCUCUUCCGCCCCAGCCCCGAGACCGACAAACAAGUUUGGACUCAUAGUGACCUUCGGGUUCUGACUCCACUCACCAUGUCCUGGUCGAAGGUACCCUAUCCCCAGCCCGGAGGCCUCUGUCAUGGAAGGGGUUACGUAUGUGCCAUGGAUAAAGUCCGAGUAAAGUGAACGUCCUCAGCAGGGAGGGAAAAUGUGAAAAUUCAUAAAUUAGGAUUCUGCUCACACGUGUAUUUCAAGGUUCUAGUUUAAACACCUGCAACGUUAGGGAUGCCCGGGUGGCUCAGUCGGUUAAGGAUCUGCCUCCGACUCAGGUCAUGAUCCCAGGGUCCUGGGAUCAAGUUCCACGUUGGGUUCCCUGCUCAGCAGGAAGCCUGCUUCUCCCUCUGCCUGCCACUCCCCCCCGCCUUGUGCUCUCUCUCUCUCUGACAAAUAAAUAAAAUCUUUAAAAAAAGUUAAAAAUAAACACAUGCAACACAAGUAAAGUGUAUUGGCCUUCCCACUGUUAUCAUGAAAUCAAGUUAUUUUUCUGCAUAUGGUGCCGUAUUUCCUAUUUGCCUUCAGUCUUUUCUAGAAACAUUUUUACAAGUCUUAACUUCUAUUUGGCUCCAUAUUGUUACUAC